rnacentral:rRNA from 1 species
UCCAGACUCCUACGGGAGGCAGCAGUGAGGAAUAUUGGUCAAUGGGCGGGAGCCUGAACCAGCCAAGUCGCGUGAGGGAAGACGGUCCUAUGGAUUGUAAACCUCUUUAGGCGGGGAGCAAUGCCGGGCACGCGUGUCCGGAGGGAGAGUACCCGCAGAAUAAGCAUCGGCUAAUUCCGUGCCAGCAGCCGCGGUAAUACGGAGGAUGCGAGCGUUAUCCGGAUUUAUUGGGUUUAAAGGGUGCGUAGGCGGAUUUUUAAGUCAGCGGUAAAAUGUCGGGGCUCAACCCCGGCCUGCCGUUGAAACUGGCGGCCUCGAGUGGGCGAGAAGUAUGCGGAAUGCGUGGUGUAGCGGUGAAAUGCAUAGAUAUCACGCAGAACUCCGAUUGCGAAGGCAGCAUACCGGCGCCCGACUGACGCUGAGGCACGAAAGCGUGGGUAUCGAACAGGAUUAGAUACCCCUGUAC